rnacentral:misc_RNA from 1 species
UUUUACUCUGAAGUAAUUGGUUUAGCUUUAAAAUUGUGAAGGGAAAGUCACUUCUAGAUCUUUUACUUAGCCAUCUUCCAUACUUUUAAUUUGAGUUGAACACUAACCAAACUAGGAACAGGAAAAUAAAUUUCUUCAAGUAAUUAAAUGUUGUAUUUUCUUGGACUGUCAAAUAUGCUAUGCCUCUACAAGGCAUGUUGACAAUGAUAUCAGAGCAUCUGAUGUUAUUUGUGCAUUGUUUAUUGUUUAGUCAACUCAACAUAGUGUCUGACUACUUGGAGAGGCAUCUGAAAUUCUUUUGAUUAAUUUUUGAGUUAUCUUAUUCUGUG